AUUGAACGCUGGCGGCAUGCCUUACACAUGCAAGUCGAACGGUAGCACGGGAGCAAUCCUGGUGGCGAGUGGCGAACGGGUGAGUAAUGUAUCGGAACGUGCCCAGUCGUGGGGGAUAACGUAGCGAAAGCUACGCUAAUACCGCAUACGAUCUAUGGAUGAAAGCGGGGGAUCGCAAGACCUCGCGCGAUUGGAGCGGCCGAUAUCAGAUUAGGUUGUUGGUGGGGUAAAGGCCCACCAAGCCGACGAUCUGUAGCUGGUCUGAGAGGACGACCAGCCACCCUGGGACUGAGACACGGCCCAGACUCCUACGGGAGGCAGCAGUGGGGAAUUUUGGACAAUGGGCGCAAGCCUGAUCCAGCAAUGCCGCGUGCAGGAUGAAGGCCUUCGGGUUGUAAACUGCUUUUGUACGGAGCGAAAAGGCUUCCACUAAUACUGGAGGCUCAUGACGGUACCGUAAGAAUAAGCACCGGCUAACUACGUGCCAGCAGCCGCCGUAAUAC
rnacentral:rRNA from 1 species